rnacentral:rRNA from 1 species
CCUACGGGAGGCUGCAGUGGGGAAUAUUGCGCAAUGGGCGAAAGCCUGACGCAGCGACGCCGCGUGAGGGAUGAAGGUCUUCGGAUCGUAAACCUCUGUCAGCAGGGAAGAACGGUCACGGUGCUAAUCAGCAGUGAAUUGACGGUACCUGCAAAGGAAGCACCGGCUAACGCCGUGCCAGCAGCCGCGGUAAAACGGAGGGGGCGAGCGUUAAUCGGAAUUACUGGGCGGAAAGCGCUCGUAGGCGGUAUGGCAAGUCAAGGGUGAAAUCCCCGCGCGCAACGUGGGAACUGCCUUUGAAACUGGCAAACUGGAGUGUGUGAGAGGCUAGUGGAAUUCCAGGUGUAGUAGUGAAAUCCGUAGAUAUCUGGAGGAACAUCAGUGGCGAAGGCGACUCUCUGGCCCAUAACUGACGCUGAGGUGCGAAAGCGUGGGUAGCAAACAGGAUUAGAUACCCUUGUAGUC